UUUCUCUAGUGCCAUCCCAUAUGAUUUUUGUUCCCGAACUCACAUUAGAUCUCUCUCUCUCUCUCUAUCAACCAAUCAAUUAUUCUCACUACACAUAUAUCUUUCUCUCUCUAUCAAUCAAUCAAUUAUUCCUGCACUACGUGCACCAUGCAGCUAUGCACAUAGCCAAACACAACAGCUCGUUUCUAUAAACCCCAUUCAUUAAAUACUCAUCUUGAUGC
rnacentral:lncRNA from 1 species